rnacentral:lncRNA from 1 species
CUAGCUCAAGUUCAUAUAAAGAGUUAAAUCCCAUCAUGAAAGUGGAUCACGAGUCACAAAGUUUAUGUAUCUUGUGUAACAGUUCUGAGCAUCUAGUGGAGUGUUGUCCUAGUUUACCCAACAUUAAGGCUGAGCAGACAAAUGCUCUAAACUCAUAUAGUGCCUUCAAGAAGCCCACUCCCAAUUCAUUCAGCCCAGUCUACCACCCUGAUAAUAGGUUUCACCCAAAUUUCUCAUACAAGCAAAAUGAACCUAUUCAGCAUCAAGGUGGUCCACCAGGUUUUCAGAAGAAUUUUUCCAGGAUAGGUCCAUC